CCUACGGGGGGCUGCAGUCGAGGAUAUUUAGCAAUGGACGAAAGUCUGACUAUGUGACGCCGCGUGAGGGAUGAAGGUUUUCGGAUCGUAAACCUCUUUCGAUGGGAAAGAAACCUUCUGGUGAAAGCCAGAAGCUGACGGUACCUAGAGAAGAAGCCACGGCCAACUCCGUGCCAGCAGCCGCGGUAAUACGGGGGUGGCGAGCGUUACUCGGAUUUAUUGGGUGUAAAGGGCAGGUAGGUGUCCCAUUAAGUUAGAAGUGAAAUCCUGCAGCUCAACUGCAGAACUGCUUUUAAAACUGAUGGGAUUGAGAACAGAAGAGGAAAGCGGAAUUCCCGGUGUAAGGGUGAAAUCUGUAGAGAUCGGGAGGAACACCAGUGGCGAAAGCGGCUUUCUGGUCUGUCUCUGACGCUGAGGUGCGAAAGCUAGGGGAGCAAACAGGAUUAGAUACCCUAGUAGUC
rnacentral:rRNA from 1 species